rnacentral:rRNA from 1 species
UACGUAGGGUGCGAGCGUUGUCCGGAAUUAUUGGGCGUAAAGGGCUCGUAGGCGGUUUGUCGCGUCGGGAGUGAAAACACCGGGCUUAACUCGGUGCUUGCUUUCGAUACGGGCAGACUAGAGGCAUGCAGGGGAGAACGGAAUUCCUGGUGUAGCGGUGAAAUGCGCAGAUAUCAGGAGGAACACCGGUGGCGAAGGCGGUUCUCUGGGCAUGUCCUGACGCUGAGGAGCGAAAGCGUGGGGAGCGAACGGG